rnacentral:lncRNA from 1 species
AAAAAUGAGAUGGCGCAGGUCCAGGGGGUGCCGCCCAUGCGGGGAAGCAUCGCGGCUUCAAGCUCGAUUGGUAAGUACUCCAUACUGGUUUUUCUGUCAGUAUCACGGCUGUUUUUUGUCAUCAUUAGUAUAAUGAUAUUGGACUGAAGCUCGUCAACUCUUUCGAUGCUGUAUUUCUGGCAUCAUUAGUAUACUGAUAUUGGACUAAAGUUGGUUAGCUCUUUCCAUGCUGGACUUUUGGCAUCAUUAGUAUACUGAUAUUGGACUGAAGCUUGUUAGCUCUGUCCAUGCUCGGUUUUUUGUCAUCAUUAGUAUAGUGAUAUAUUGGACUGAAGCUGCACAUGUUUUGUUUCCAUUAACGUUGGUCUAGCAGUGCUACGCGUCAGUCGGCCGAUCGUAGCCGCCAUACAAGCCUUAUUUUAAUCAAGUUCCACCCGUCACUGCAUAUAUUAACGUUGGUUUUGGCACUAGCUACGUAUACAAACGCGAGCACCGGCACUGUGUGGCAGCAUGGAAGACAUAUGAACUGUGAUAAGAAACAUGCAAUGGCUAGAAACAUCUCCGUACAAAAAAAAUUGGCAUGUUAUAGGUGUCAACAAAAUUAGUCGGCUUGCCAGCCGUCGGAUCUGACACGUGAAGCAUUGGAUCACACCACGCAGCAGCAGAGAGAGUGGAACCCGUCUUCCUCCAUAGCCUCCACAAAACUUGUUUAUCCCCCACCCCUCCCCCAUCGUUGCAACAGACUAUUAUGUUGUUGCCGCGGCCUUCCUCUUCCUCUCGCUCAGCAGCACCUCCCUCUCGUCCUUUCUAACACAGCAAAGAAGAAGGAGGAGGAAGAAGAAGGACGCAAGGACACAAGUGGUUUUGCCGGAGCACGAACUCCGCCCGCCGCACGAACGGCGUCCUUUUCUUUCCCUGAGCCCGAACUCAGUACAAUCCGCAAGCUACAACAGAGGAGAGAGCUGGCCUUAUACCCGCGCGCACGCACGCGCUACGCCACGCUCUGCAUGCAUGCACACCCCACGUCCCGCGCUUCCAGACCCACUCACCCGACGCGCACGUACGCAGUCGCCGUAGGCCGAUUCCAGCGCCCCGACGUGGUCGCCACUCCGUUUCUGUCGCCUACACACAACGGCCCACGCGCUCGAACGCGAGGACACACACGCACGCACAGACACACACACACGCACGGCCACGGACCCGGCGCGUCCUGGCUCGCACCCGACGCGUCCUGCGGUGGCUUAUGCCCAACACUCACUCUCCUAAGCCACGAACUAGAGCAGGUGAGUCCAUCGUCGUCGAUGUCGCCAUGGCCGUCGCACCGCACCGCUGCGGCCUCCGCCGUGCCGUCGACGUUGUUGUAGCCGCCGCCGCCCUAACGUCGCUGCCACACCUGCCACCGUGCCGCCGUGCCCUUCGCGUGCACUCCCCACAUCCCCGCGCUCCCGGCCCGCGCUCCCGCCGCGCACGUACGCGGUCUGCGCAACCAGGUCCAGCGCCUCGACGCGGUCCACUCCCGCGGUCCCGACGCGCCCGACGCGUUGGGUGCGCACCCAUAACGUGCACCGGUCACGCCCGGCUCACCGCCGCGCUUAUUGCCCUGCACCGCUGCGCCGUCAACCGCAGCGCAGCGCCUCCACGGUUGUCGCGCCGAGCUGCCGCGGCCUCUGCGACACCACGCAGGUCCUCCACGACCUCCUCGUCUCCGCGACCGCCGCUGCUCGCCGCGCGCACGGCAUCGCGCCACACCGCCGUGGACUCGCCGCGCGUUGCUGACGCCACGCGCUCGCCGCGCGCCCGGCAUCACGCCACACCGCCGUGGACUCGCCGCGCGUUACUGAGACCUUCAUGUCCGCCGCGCGCCACGCGCGCCCCGAACCUGUGGCUCUGAAUACCAAUUGUUGUUGCCGCGGCCUUCCUCUUCCUCUCGCUCAGCAGCACCUCCCUCUCGUCCUUUCUAACACAGCAAAGAAGAAGAAGGAGGAAGAAGAAGGACGCAAGGACACAAGUGGCUUUGCCGGAGCACGAACUCCGCCCGCCGCACGAACGGCGUCCUUUUCUUUCCCUGAACCCGAACUCAGUACAAUCCACAAGCUACAACAGAGGAGAGAGCUGGCCUUAUACCCGCGCGCACGCACGCGCUACGCCACGCUCUGCACGCAUGCACACCCCACGUCCCGCGCUUCCAGACCCACUCACCCGACGCGCACGUACGCAGUCGCCGUAGGUCGAUUCCAGCACCCCGACGUGGUCGCCACUCCGUUUCUGUCGCCUACACACAACGGCCCACGCGCUUGAACGCGAGGACACACACGCACGCACAGACACACACACACGCAUGGCCACGGACCCGGCGCGUCCUGGCUCGCACCCGACGCGUCCUGCGGUGGCUUAUGCCCAACAAUUACGUCAGCCCCUCGCAGCACCUCACGUCCAUGCUCUGGCGCAUCCCUGAUGUCGCCUGGUAUCAUGCAAGCACUAUUACAGACGGCGCGCCGGCGAGGAACAUUGUCUUACAACCAAGGUAGUUGCAUUGAUGCGACCACAAGCCUCACCCCCUUGUUGCAUGGGUCGUGGCUUGUGGCACUGGUCGUCGGCUAAAACACCCCCCAUGAGAACCUGCAGUUGCACCACUGCGACAACCCCGUGGGUCUAUGCAUGGUGGAAAUAGAGCGAAUGGAUAUGGUGAAGAGAGAGGAAUACAAGUGAGGGGCAUCUGGCGCUAGAGCGAGCUGACUCAUUUCCUCCUAAACUAGUCUGUUGAAUAUUUCCAUUUUCUUUUGAGAAACCUCGUAAAAACGUUGCAACAUGCGAGCAUGUCUAUACAAAAAAAAGUAGAUAUAGAACACAUACUCAUUAACUGCAAGAAAUCAGUGAAAAACCACAAUGUAUACACGCCUGAACCAAUGGAUCAUUGGCAUGCAUCUUCCAACUCUUCCUAGGUUACGCCCACCCGCGAACCGUUCAAUUCUGUCACAGAUCAUUGCCAAAUCAACCACCAACUUGGUUCCUGCUCUCGUCUCCUCUCCCCAUCCUUUGCAACAUACACCCAUGUUUCUCAGCAAUAGACUCACUUGGAGGCCACAAUGGUGGCCAUGGUAGGCUAGUGAAAAGCACAAUGGUGGUCGGCCUUACAACACUAAACAUGACAUUAAUUGCAACACGUGAUAACCCCAAAUUUGUAGCACCGGUGCACCGUUUUGCGGCAAAGUAAAAAAUGCCAAUGACCUGCCAUUCUGCAUCGAUACCUUGGUCUUGCAACAUUGUCAACCACCUUGUAGCAAUGAAAACUUCACUGACCACUAGCUUUGCAGCAUCACGUGACCAGCUUCUAGCACUGAACGCCCGGGCUAGCAGCACUGCGAUGAGUGAUGGUCGGCCUUGCAACAGUAUUGGUUGACAUUGCACACCUCAUCUCCAUUUUUAUGUAUAUACACAUGAGUGAACUUGGAACAUCAGUAACGUAUCAACAUUAGCAAUAUUGAUGAUGAUGAAAUUUGUUUCCCCAAGUAUCAACAUUACUGAAUAAGCGAGCAACUGCACAUCCACCCCAUGAGCCAUACUUUUUGAGCCCUACCACAACCGAUUAUAGUUGGAAAAGAGCUGACAACGAUAGUUAAAAAUGUACAUGAUCACAAUAGAUUAAAUGGCAGGGAGGGUGGACUGCAUGCGUGGAAUCAGGCUUGUCACGUGGUCACAAGUGCCUUAUCUGACUAGCCAACAAGACAGAAGGAGGCCGCAUGGGCUCUCACUCCUGAAGCUAAGCAUAACUCCAACUCCAGACACACUCGGGGGCUACUGAAGGUGCAAUACACUAGGGGUGUCCUCUAAGUGGGAAGCCUGGUAGCAGGCCUAUCUCAAGGCCCAAGAGGCCGAGUGGAGGAUCAGCGCACGAGGGCAGCUCAUGAGCCCGGAUAAGGACCGGGAGAGCAUCUGGGCGUGCAAGCUAACAUGGCGACGGUAUGAGAUCUAGUGGAUUCCUUGUAAUCCCUAGCCCUCGUCACCUAUAUAAGGCAGGGCAAGGGGUUAUCAUUCACAUAUACUCUCAUAGACUAUACUCUCGGUGGCCUUAUUCUUCAUCUCCGUUGUAAAUCCUAUUAUGGGUACUAACAGUUUUACAUACUGUCGCAUAGUUUAGUUCCGACACAUUUUCUCUAGGAGUUGAAAGCAACUCAUGGUGUAAGUAUGUGUUGCUGGAAGCACUGAUUUUACUAGCACCGCCUUUCCCGCCUUCGAGAUACCUUGUCCUUCCUAUCCAAUCACUUUGCCAUUUGAGUUUUCUCUAACGUAUUUAAAAUUUGCUUCCGUUGACCUACCCACCACGGCUGCGAGCCCCAAAUAAUGCUCGCUCAAUGCCUUGGGAUCAAUGCAAAAAUAUUUAAAAAAACUUUGUCCUCCUAUUUGCUUCCCUUUCCACAGAAAGUUGAGGCUUUUUGAAGAUUUACCAUUUGUCAUGUGGCCAACUCGUAGUCAAAUAGGGUCUAUUUUAAGGUCACAACGUUGAUAUUUGAUGCUUGAAGAAAUACUACACUAUCAUCUACAAACAUAAAAUGGGCUACAUGGGGGCCAGUGCUCCCAAAAUGUACACCAUUGAUCUCCUUAUCUUUGAGAAUUCAUGAGCAAUGCCAAAAAAUAAACAAAUGGGGGGAUUGUGGGUCUCCUUGUCAGAUCCCUCUUGAUAGUGUAAAAAUGACAGAGCAACCUCCAUUCAAUUUGACAGGAAUCCUGGUCGAGGUAACAGAUGUCAUAGUCAUCAAGAUCCACCUAUUUGAGAAACCAAGUGCCCUCAUCAUGAGAUUGUGGAAAAUCCAAACCACCCUCUUGUAGGCCUGCAUCAUGUCUAGUUUAAUAGCUAACAUUGGAUUUUUCUAUUUGUUGGCCUGAUUGCAUGCACACACUCAUACGUGACCAACACAUUGUCUGUGAUAAGCCUACCCGGAAUAAAUAUGCUUUGCUCCUCCCAGAUCAUUAUGGACAGGAGAACAUUCAAACCAUUCACUAGGCCUUUGAAGCAAUAUGACUGAGUGUGUUCUAUAAGCUGAUUGAUCCAAUUUGAGGAAGUAUAUCCAGUGAGUUAAUUUUUAGGAUCAGGACUAGAACCAUAUCACUAAAGUUUGCCGAUACAUCAUUUUUUAGCAACGACUAGUGAAAUUGGUAAACAUAGUCGAGAGGUUGUGUGGCCCAACGCUUUUGUCAGUCUAAUUUUGAAUGGUGCAUUCUCAAUUUCUUCAUCCAUCACAUCCGCGUCCACCCUCAAGAAAACAACCAAGCAUAGAAAUCGGCCGACAUCUUCCCCAUCUCAUUGUCAGUAGUACAUCUCAUGCCAUCCGCGCUCAUGUUUUGUUCGUCUUCCUCGAGCAAUUCCAGUCGAGCAUGUUGCAUAUACAUUAUUUAUUCCCAUGCAUGAGCCAGAUGAAGCUAUGCUUCAAUCUCGUGGAUCUCCACCAAGGAUCUGGAUCCCAAUGCUCUCUCCUUUCCAUCGAAGCUGACCUUGUGCCUAGUGAUGUCUAAACAUACGAAACAAAACACUGAGCCACUCCAAUGUUGCAUAUCAUUGGUGACAUUGUUAAGCUUCCUGUAUAACGUACUCUGGCCGAAAUUGUUGUCACAUGCACACUCCCACGCAUCCAUGGGGCAUCCGCCUCUCCUCAAAUGUUAACGCCCUCUUCUUCCUUGUGGUAAUGACCAAUUGGUCUAGCGCUCUAAUAAUGAGUGAAUCAUGGCCUGGUUCUCCGUGAGAACAUGUUCAAUGGAUGUAUCCUAGAAUGAGUGUAUGAAAUCAUCAUUGCAUGGACCCCUUCCCAGAUGUACCUAAAUGUUCUCAUCAUCAUCCCUUUUGUUGUCCCGUGUGUACUGGUAGCUACUAAAACAGAGGUUUGAAAAGUUGUUAUUGGCUACGCUUCCAUUUGUGUGAAACUCCUCAAGUAAUCUCCUGGUUGUUGUGAUUGAAAGAAUACUUUGUUGAGGUAUCACUGUCACAGAGAAAUUUAUUAUCAGGAUCUAGUCUCUUGAAACCUCCCUUAGCUACACAAGUUUGCUUCAAUCUCUCUUCCUAUCCAGUAGCUUUAGCUGAUAAUCCUUGUGAUGCCUUUGGUGAUCACCACCACCCUUCCUCGUCUUGUGAACAAAAGUGCCUCGUGUGUGCUGCCUGGAGGUAGAUGGGUCCUCUUUGCCCAGUCGCCUUGCACCCUUUCUUCCCAUAUAGAAUUUUUUAUGUCCUCCUUCCUUUCAUGCUCCUUCCUCAGCUUCCACAUCCUUUUCAGUUGCAAAUCAUCCCUUAGUUCAUGUCACCGAUCUUGCUUGCAUUGGUCCUUCCUGGGUGUAUAAGCAUUGUAGCACUUGUGCCUAAAUGGGAGGUGGCGCAACGCUGCUUACCCCCUGUGAACAUAGAUGCACCUUCUUGACCUAGUGCUCCCAAAACUAAAGUUCCCACUUUCUAUCACCGACUUCUACUAUGUUUCUGUGUGUGAGGAGCUAUGUUCGAGUGGUGCCCUCAACCAUUCACCCAACUAGGGUGAGGAAUCAACAUGUGGUUCAAAUCUUUCAUCAGCAUGUGUUGGUCUAACGCAGUCAAUCCAGAAGUGAUGUAUCUUCUCAAAUUGAAAAUCAAGACAGUCCCCUCAUCUUUCGCUGAAGAGUGGAGGAAGAAGGCUCGAACCAAUGAAACGAAUAUGAAAAUUCUAGCUCUAACUAUGAGAUGGUUCCCCCCAUAAAUCCAUCCUUCUCGAUAUCAAAUUUUACCACGUCACCAAGCCAAUUCCCGAGAGCAUUCCCAAAAGUAGACAAUGGUUUAUAUAGGGGAAGAUCCUUAAUUAUCACCCAUGGCUCCGUCAUCCAAAACAUUAUCUUCGAUGGCCUAGUUUUACCAUCACAAUUCUUCAAAACCAUCACACUAAAACCAAAUUUCCACGGUCCAUUAUAUAGAGCGUGAUUCUAAACUCCGUUUUGUCGAAUCUCAAGACGAAGAUAUUAUUGCCAAUGGCUUCCUAGUAGAGUCCCCAUGCCUGUUGCAUAGCCUUAGCAAACACGUUGAUGUUGAUUUGCGGAAGUGAGCACGCCUUUCCAACGGCUGACAACUUAGUAGGCCUCCGUCGGUCUAGAAUCCACCUCAAACAUGAGACCUAUUAGUUCCUUUUGUGUCAAGUUCAAGGCUCCUUGUUUGUUUGAGAGAUUCGCUACCUCCUGGAAGCAUUUUCGUCUGUCAGGGACUUUGAAGAUUCUCGGCUUAUCGAUCGUUGGUCACCCGCUUCACUGGAGUUGCCUGUCCAUGCCAUGCCUGCUCUUCCGUCAUCGACCAAUAGAUGAAUAAAACCCUAGCACUACCUGUCGGUCCCCUAUAGUCUCCCUUAGCAUUUCCUUUCAUGGUGGGCCCGCCACCAACUAUUCCUCUCCGUCCUUCCAUUGGUACUUUUUCUGCGGUGGAGCCUUUAUGCUUCAUUUGGCUUUCUACAAUGGUGGUUGUAUCCAGCUCAUAAGUCUCCUCUAUAUGUCGGAAGCCAAGAUGUUAGCUCUUCUUUUUUUAAGGAAAAUACGUUAGCUAAUGUACAAGUUCCGCUUUGAAAGAAGUCUUGUCGCAUGUAAAGACAUCACUGUCGGUUCAAUAUCCGGCGUAUCUCGUAGUAGGGGUCCUAAGCUAGGCGUCUUGGAGCGAUGGUAACAUGGACACGGGGUUUUACCCAGCUUCGGGCUCUCUUGAUGAGAUAAUACCCUAGAUGCUGCUUUUGAUUGUAUUCAUAUGGGGUGUAGUACAGAGUACAUGUGUCUACCACGAGACUGUGGUAAUGAAUAUGAGAUUGUCUAUUGACUAGCCUGGCCUCGGUUUAUAUAACAGACCGGAGGCCUAGGGUUUUAGGAGAGUCCUCGCCUGUCACGACCGGUUUUUCAAUAAAAUAAUUAUUGAGAGACCAAUCCCUUUUACGGACCAGCGAGGAAGAAUUCCUUCUCACUGGUAGACAAUAUCUUGGUCACAGAAGAAAAAUACCAGGAGUACUAAUCAUAAUACAAGGUUGAGCAGAGGCGGCCCAACAAUUUAUUACAUGCACGCCGAUAAAACAACACGGUGGAUAGGGUGGCAAACUAUUAACUCACGAUAAUAACGGUGGUGGAAAUAUCACCGCGGAGCGAGUGAUCUGAUUCCAGAAGACUACAGCUCAUCGAGCGUCGGAGUGAGGCUCGAGAAGACUUAUUGCGGGUGGCGGAAGCGUAAACAAAACAAGUGACCAAUAUCCGGGAUCGCGCAGGACUGACUGGGACUCCUCUAGGCAUCGGACGCGCUAUCAAACUCUUCAUCCAAGAGAUCGCCUUCGUCAACAUCUGGCCAAAUCAACAAGCCAGGUGAGUACUAUGAAAGUACUCGCAAGACAGUUCGGACAUAAGGUAUAACAAAUGUAAACAUGAAGUACAUGAACAAGUUAACCAGUGCGAUCAGACAUAGAGGUAAUAAAUACUGGGUGCCAAGCGAGGGUCUGAAUGACGCCUCGAGCGGAAACUGCGGAAUAGUAAUACUGGUGCCAAGCGAGUGUCUGAAAGACUCCUCGAGCGGAAAAUGCAGAACAAUACUGCUGGUGCCAAACGAGUGUCUGAAAGACUCCUCGAGCGGAAAAUGCAGAAUAAUACUGCUGGUGCCAAACGAGUGUCUGAAAGACUCCUCGAGCGGAAAAUGCGGAAUAAUAAUGCCACAGUCGGGCGUCGGGGUGACACCACAUAAAGGGCUUAUAACAGAAAAUAAAGACAGUGCAUGCCACAGUCGGACGCCUGAGCGACAUCACAUAAAGGGCUUAUAUUUAAAGUAAGAAACAAACACACGCCACAGUCGGACGUCUGUGCGACGUCACAUAAAGGGCUUAUAUUUAAAGUAAGAAACAAACACACGCCACAGUCGGACGUCUGCGCGACGUCACAUAAAGGGCUUAUAUCACAGCUUAAUAAUACAAUAGUUCGGGAACAUAAAUUAUCACAAGCAUGAGACAAACAUAAAGUUAGUCCAUCCACAGGAAUAAUAAUAAAUCUGGAUUUUUCCACUUGAGCUUGUUCACCGGGGACAAGUCUUCCACGCGGAUAGAUAUGGAUAUAACGUUAUCAUUACUUGAUCAUGGAUACGAUGAUUUGGAAAGAAUUGACUCUGCAGAGUUUGUACUUAACCACAGCCAACGGAUUUCAGUAGUCGCGGGGACUAGUUCCGUCUACGGUGUUUUGGGAGAAACACGUCUAACCAGUACACACCCAAUUCAACCAUCCGAAGCCAGGGAUCACCCUCAGCAUCGUUCAAGAAAAACCUUGAGACGGGGAGGCUACAACCUCGCGUAGCAUGGGAUCAAAUUUCUAUACGCGCGCUUUAAGGGGGUGCCCCCCCUCUCGGUCCCAACCGGAAACACCCAUGCCCCCUGACCGGAUGACUGGCUUUAAUCCUGGGCCAAGGUACCCUCAUCCCGGCCUCUCUAUUUGGUGUGUACACGGAAAGAGGUUACCAACUUACUAAACCGUAUCCUGGCAAUGAGACAUGUGGUAGCACGGAAGGGGGAAAGAACGGUAACGCGGCUCCAACCACGUUAACGUCGGAGAAAGUCGGAUGACGCCAGGCUGGUAUGCUACAACAGUACCACCUUGCUGCCCUUCAUGUCACCACAUGAUUAGGCCAUCUCUCAUCAGAGAUCAUCACAACUUUGGAACAUGCGGGAAAAGGACGAUAACGUGGCUCCAACCACGUUAACGUCGGAGAAAGUCGGAUGGCGCAAGGCUGGUAUGCUACAACAGUACCACCUUGCUGCCCUUCAUGUCACCACAUGAUUAGGCCAUCUCUCAUCAGAGAUCAUCACGACUUUGGAACAACCGGGUAGUUGCCUUACAAGCAAGGAGGUAUUUACCGAUACUCAUAUGCCACGCACAAACUUUCACGUAAACAUGCAAAACAUCUGUCCUAUCAAAUGUUCAAAACAUGCUUGCCUGGUUCGGAGAACUCGGAGUCUAGCUCGGCGAAGUUCGCGGCUCCUUCACCUCUCCCGGAACCUUCGGCAAUCACGAAACGGGUACUAAAGUGAAAACCAACACAUGCACAGAAACUUUUCCAAAUAUUUUUCAAAUAAAUCCCAUAAAAAACUAGACAAAAUUUGAAGAUUGUCAGAAAAAGAAUCACUCAAAAAUACCUUUUUAUUAAAAAGUUAUAAAGGUUUCUGUCCAGGGACCUUUCUGUAAUGAAACAGAAAAGUUCCAGGGUUUUAACUGAGAAAACAGAAAACGCUUCGGUUGGGAAUGCGCAAGCGCAAAGAGGAAAACGUAUUUGCCGAAGGCGCCAACAGAAAACGGUUCGCGAAUAAAAGAACAGAGGCUGACACGCGGGGUCCACAUGUCAGGUUUAAAAAGCUCGCCGGCGCCCGAAGACGGCGGUGGACGCCGGCGUCGAACCACGGCGAGUUAGGAGAAACGGAGGGUACCAAGAGCUUCAGCGUCUUCUUCCGCGUCGGUGGGUGGUGGACUCGUCCAACGGGGAGCACCACGUCGACGGCGACACUAUCUCCGGCGGACGGCGGCUCGGUUGAGGAUGGGGGACUCCGGUGGAGGGCUGCAAACUACGAAUUGAGGCGCGGGUCAGAACGAGGGAUGCAAGGUGAAGCUACUGGCAAGAGAAUGGAGGCGGAGGGGCACACACGGGGGCGAAUCAGGCUGGAUCCCGUGGCGGGUCGCGGCGGCCGGAGUCGAGGAAGGAGGCCUCCUCGGGGCUCUUCCAGUGGCUAGGCGUGCUCUAGGGGGAGUGCAGGGAUGGUGGGUGCUCGAGUUGAAGCUCGGGGCCUCUAUUUAUAGGCAGAUCGACGGGGUGGCCGUGAACGGAGAAUCUCCGGCGAGCGAUUACGGCGGAGCAGUGGAUUGGCAGGUGGUUUGAGCGGCUAGGCAGCAUCAGUGGAGGUUACUGGAGUCGUUUCACAGCUAAACGGAGCUGGUCUUGGCGUAAUGGCGUCGGUCCACGGUGAGGUGACCGCACGGGCUCAACGGCGGCAGAGAGCGUGCUCCGCGCCCUGCGGUUCACGACGAGAGCGGCAGCGCAUUCGGGGGAGUGGAAGGCCACGCGGCGAGCUCCGGUGGUUUGGGCAGCGCUGGGUGGCGUCGUCGGCGCCGUGUCUCCCGCUGGCGCCCGCAAAGCCGCCGCCGGCGUCGGUCACGGGGCGGCGCACCUUCUGCUGCUCGUCGCCGACGCCCGCAAGGCGCCAGGAGUUCGUGCGGUGCAGGAACAAGGGGGAGGGGACGAGGAGCAAGGCGACGCGGUGGCACUGGCGAGAUCGACGUCCAUCUCUGAAGAAAACGACAGCAAGCCACUGCAGUGUUCUCUGAAAUUUUCUGAACUUGACAUAGACAGUGCACUGCAGGUGCUCGACAGAAGGUUUUGGCAAUGAGAUGAAUUUUUCUGGGGCUGUAACUUGGUGAGAUGAUCACUCACUGCACCCAGAGGCUGCCUGAUUUUACUUGGAAUUUUUGGAGAAGGUUUUGAAUGAAUUUCACCAAAUUUGACAAAUCUGGUCCAAACUUGCAGCAGAUGUAGUUUGAAGAUUUUGAACUGAAGACCAAUGGAUCUUCAUGGUUCUAGGUUGAGGGUUCAAAGGACUAGGAAGGAGAGUUGGUUUGGGGGCAAAGAUCAAAACAGAAAAUGGAGUUCCUUUGUAAAUCUCCAAGUGCUAGAAAAGAAGACAGAAAUUUAUUUGAAUAGAAUUUAAAUGGAAAUAAUCACAUGGGGAGGUUCAACUAGCUGGAUCUGAUGCAAAUCAUGACCCAAAGGUGAGGGGAGGGUUAGGAGAGAGGAUUUGCACUAAGGCCAUGGCAAGAAGGAAUUGUUGAAAGUGGCAAAGGAGUUUUCCAAAAGCCAUAGUGCAUUUUCAAAAAGAUUUUCAAAAGGUAUUUCCCCCAAUGAAAAACAUUUUGUCUUGAGUCCAAGUGAAAAGCAAGAACCUCCAAGACCAAAGGCAGAUCUUGGGUGAAUCCAAAUAAAACUUUUGCCAUAAAGAAAAAUGAUUAGAGGGGGAGAGUUCUCUUGAAGAAAAUUUUAAAUCACUCCCCUCAAGUCAAAUAAAAUCUUUUGAAAAAUCCAAAUAAAAACUUGGGUGUCACAUCGCCUUGGGCGCCAAGUCUUGUGGAGUCUUCCUUAUAUGCGGCAGGGGUUGUCCGAACUGGCCCAUGAGUAUACGGUCGGCCCAAUCCAACUGAUCGGGAGACGACGUGGUGAGUACCCCCUAGUCCAGGACACCGUCAGUCACUAAGAGUGCGAUACAUAUAGGUGCAUACUUUGCGGAUGAUGCAAAUUUCAGCAGAUAUGAACAGCUCCAGGUGGACCGAGCACACAAAGAAAUCAUGGACCAUAAACGAAUAAUUUCCAAAGAAACAAAGUCGCAAAAAGAGAGACGACAUUAUCUUCAUUAUGGAAAACCCUUAUAUUUUUAAACAUUGCUUUGCUCUUUGAUUAUUAACAGGAAUCUUUUUACUAAUAUAAUAAGUGUUAAUCUUUAUAGAUAUGGAAUGUAUUUUGUUCAGUAGGUUUUAAUGAAUCAUAUCAGUUUUUGGUAUGUUAAAAUUAGAAGAAGUUCAUGCGCCUUCAAGGCAUGUCACGGUGUGUUGUUCCACCUCAAACAGGGACAUACUACAUGGUUAUUAUCCCUGCAUAUAGCCCUCUUCGCAUGCUCUUCCUCUCUCUCUCUCUCUCCAUUGUAUAUUCCAGAACUGCUGACACUACUCCAUAAUGCCUAACUGGUGAAGGUCCAGAAACACCUAGCAGUGAUGGGUUCAACAUGCUCAGUAGUCUGUACUUAGUGGAGAAGUAACAAACCACUUAGAUGAACAUGUCUGCCAGUGAUGGUCAAAUCAAAAAAGAAAAUCGGGCCAUGGCUAGUCCAAAGCUAACACCUGCCAAUAAUGUGAAGUCUCCACUACUCGAACCUUCUUCUCCUCAAUAUAUUGCACCGUCUGAUGUUUGGAGAAGCCAUAGAUUUGGGGAUCCGAAUAGAGGAAACAAUGGUGGGGAGUGUCUUGAAGAAUAGGUAACGAGAAGCCGGACGGAGAAGGCCUCGACCAUGCUGCACCAUCAGCCCAUGAGCACUGACCUGUAUAUAUGGUGCAAGGACCGAGGCAGAAAUGAACACCAUCAUCGCCUGGGUGGCAGAGGGAGUUGGACCUGGGUGUUCCUCCUCUCGGACAAACUCAAUGAAUUCUUGGAGGCAGCACCCAUGCUAGAUUCUGCAGAGAUGACAACAUUUAGAGGAGGUGGAGGGCCAGCGCUAGGUUUGUUCCUCAUAGGGUUUAUUUUCGGGGAAGAAGGGGAAGGGUAUGACAUGAUGAGUGAUUAACAAGGGAAGUGUGUGUUUCUGUGGAGGACAAAUCAUGAAGAUAAGUGUGCUAGUAGCUAGAGAAGGGACUAAUGAUAGCAGGAACGAAUAAUGAGCUUAAUGUGUGGGGCUACUAGUUUUAAGUUGUGAUCUAAAUGACAGGGUAAGUAUUUAGUCACUAUCGUGUUGUGACUUGGGCUUGUAAGUGGUGGCUUGUAUAUGAGUAACAAGUAGCAUGUUUAGCCUCAAUAUUGUUCUCUGUCACUGGUAACAAUGUAUCAUUGAUGGACCACAUAUUGGGCCCGUCACUACUAACUUUUUUCAACAAAAAUAGAUUUUUAGUUAUCGUCAGAUUCAUGGCAAACCCGCCGUCCAUUACUUCUAAGUAGCACUACUGAUGGGUUGUGUGACCCACCACUAUUGAUCAAUAACUAGAGGAUAACUCAAGCAUAGUGCACAUCCGUUUCUUUGAGAUUUUGUUAGUGUUUUCUUGUUCAUGGAGACAUAUCAAUUGACCCUAACAAGUGUUCUAUUUAGGUGGGGUUGUGAGUGAAAACGCGGGGAGCUUGGCAGCAGGGAAAAUGGCACCUAGAGGGGCUCAUGUCUCCAUGAUGAACAACCACAACUUUGAUUUGAAUGAGCUACCGACUGAACAUGAGCAGCUCCAGCAGGAGCAGCCGCCCAAAGAGCAGGAUUAGCCGCCUGUGGCACAACAUGAGCUUUAAUAUUCACAAUGGCUGGAGCCUGCUCAAAUCCGCAUCUAUGAGCAAAAUAACUCUUCGCCAGAAGCAUAGCCCUGUUGGAAAUUAUCAAAAAUAUCUCUAUCCCGAGGAUAAUGGGAAGGCUUGUAUGGAACUUUUGAAUUUCUCUCUUCCUACUUUUUGCNNNNNNNNNNNNNNNNNNNNNNNNNNNNNNNNNNNNNNNNNNNNNNNNNNNNNNNNNNNNNNNNNNNNNNNNNNNNNNNNNNNNNNNNNNNNNNNNNNNNNNNNNNNNNNNNNNNNNNNNNNNNNNNNNNNNNNNNNNNNNNNNNNNNNNNNNNNNNNNNNNNNNNNNNNNNNNNNNNNNNNNNNNNNNNNNNNNNNNNNNNNNNNNNNNNNNNNNNNNNNNNNNNNNNNNNNNNNNNNNNNNNNNNNNNNNNNNNNNNNNNNNNNNNNNNNNNNNNNNNNNNNNNNNNNNNNNNNNNNNNNNNNNNNNNNNNNNNNNNNNNNNNNNNNNNNNNNNNNNNNNNNNNNNNNNNNNNNNNNNNNNNNNNNNNNNNNNNNNNNGGGGGGAUUUGGUAUACUGCCUCAUGAUCACCCUAUCCACUUGAAAUGGAUUUUCUAUUCAUUUCCCAUGAUGGUUUUGAUAUCUCGAUUGUUUCAACAAGAAUAUAUUCAUUCGGUAAAGCUUUGUGAAACAUUAGCGAUGGAGCUAGGUCUCGGGUCAUGUGAAAAGACAGUAGGUCAAGAAGUGUGUUAGCUCAUGAGAUAAUAUAUUUUUGAAGUUGUUCAUCAUGUGUGUUGACACAAUGGGUCGUACGAGAGAAGGUUGGCAUGAAUCUUUGGGUUUGAAAUGAGCUGUCUAAUUGGACCUUCAUGACUGAAAAAAGGGAGAAAACAUGGCUAAUAGGAGGCGCAAAUGAUAUGGAAGCUACUUUUUGGAUGGAAGUUAACUAUGGCUAUGCGACCACACAAGAUGUCGAUGGAACCGCGUCCUUACAUAUCGAGGUUGACUUCAUGUGCAAGCUGUAUUGUGACUAAAUUAUGGUAUAUGUAUGUAAUAACUUGGCAUCUGACCAAACACAAACCCCAAAAAAUACUAUUUACUUCUCUUCGAUGCAUAUUCUAGUGGAAGGGUAGUCAUAACCAUAUGGGGAUAUUUUUCCACAGUAGAAUCUAUAAUGGUCUAGUGAGGAAAGGUGUAAAUGGAGAGGAUAAUAGGCGAACAUGGAAACAUCCAACAUUGUGUUGUACUUGUAUCUAGUUGUAUAGUGAGAUAAUAUGGAAACGGAGGAGGCUCAUAGGGCAACACGAGAACACCCAACAUGUUGCUCUACUUCCUUCCUAUUGGUACCAAGAGACUGAGACUAGAGAAAGGUUAAUCAUAACACAUGGACAAGAUCUCUCAUACAAGUUGAAAAUGGACCGAAUCUUGUAUGAAAAUGCUAACCAAGUAUGAGUGUGCAUAAAAUACCAUUUCCUCCCUUUCUUUGUUGUAUUUUCCUUCACCAACCCCAUAGUACCCUAAUCUACACUAUUAAUUCGAUAUGCUUCUCAUCUGAGUUAGGUAGACUUAUUCAAGGGGAAAUAAUGGAGGUGUCUUAUCUAAAAUAGCCACAUUCCGGAUAGGAAUAAAAAAAGUAGACAUAACCUAAUGAUUUGUUGAGAUUUGAAUCGAGAAUUCAACAUACAUCAACUAUCCUACAUGUAAAUCAAAUCCUCAUCCUACAUCGUCAUUGGGCUUUAGUUGGACUACCACUUUAUGGACAAGCCGUAUGGUCCAUGUGGUCUACGUCGCAAAGGCCGGAGAACAAGGAGCAAAUAGUUGUGGAUGUUUGGUAAUUGAAGUUAUUUGUCAAGAAAUUUGUUUCCCGUCAUGGUUUUUUUAAUUCAUUAUUUAGUAUUUGGUAUCGGUUCUAUGCUCUAAUGUGUAACCUUCUUCUGAUGGUUUGGGUUUAGCUGUCGGUGGUCAUGAGUUCAUUACUUAUGUUAACUACUAUUGUUGUGUCCACUUGUUCGCCAAGAGACUAUAAAGUUAACUUAUAUCCUCCCGUAUCUCUAUUAAUAUAGUUGGCGGUGAGGUAAUCAUUAACCCUGAAUAUUACUCACCUUUGUCAAAUAGUAGGCCAAGCUGGAACUGUCCGGUGCAUCAUCUAUGGUCACAUAUGGUGUAUUGCCUAUUCUAAACUCAAUGAGUAUUACAUAAUGGCAUGUGCCUGCAGGCAGGAAUGAGUCACUCUUUUGUGUCAAGGGGAGACGGCAUGCGUGAUAAUUGACAAUGAAAAAUUAACAACCUACAUCAAAAGUCUAACCCAAGACAAUGAAUAUGUGCCAUUGUAAUUUUACCACACUAAGUCAUCGGUAUUUCAUAAUCGAAUGUUCCCGAUGUCGUGACUUUUGGCGGUGAUAAGCCCAAAUAAUCGCCAUUGUGAAAUUAAAUUCUUCCGUUCACUUGAACCCACAUCCGUAAAGAUGUGCCAUUACAAUCCACGUCAUGGCUAUCUUGGAGUCCUUAAUAUAAUCAAGUGUGCCAAAUAUGGUGACUUGAUAAUCACGUAUACUAAUGGGGAGGAGCGAGGUCACAUUUUUUGCCAUGGAGACAUGAUAUUCCGUACUAAUUGACCCUAGGAAGCUAAUCGCCUCCAUCAAGUAGACCCCUUCCUGGUUCUCCUAUAACUGGAUUCCCCGAAACCACGAAAAUCCUUAGAAUUGGAUUACAACUUAGCACCUUGUGUUUUCACAUAGUAAGAAGAGUUGCUCCUUGGAGAGCACGGUAUGAUGAAAGUUGUAACCUGUGUUUCCGAGGGAGUUAUUGUCUCGCAACUUUGUUAUCAACUAUUCCGAUUCCAGCAAACGGAGGCCAUUGGGUCAAAGCCAUAGCGCACGCCUUGUAGUUUUGAAGUGGGGCGAGACAACUUUAGCUAGGAACCUAUUUUCCUUCUGACCAACUCCCUAAAAACAAUGUUCGACUUCAUGUGUAGUCGGUGUAGAUGUGUCAUUGCAAUUCCACCACUAGGAUAUCACCAUGUCCUAUGUAUUACAUGCCAACAUAUGCCACCAUAUGGUGACUUGAUAAAUUAAAUGCAUUUCACCAAGCUUUUCUGUUCCAAUUAUGGUGAAGAUAGUGACUCACAUGUCAGCCUCCCUAACGGGAAGCAAAAUCACUCUGACUUUGGCAACCUAAAUUUUUUAUGGAUUCAAGCAAGCAUGUUGGAUUUGUGUAUUGUUUAUUUCCACAUAUAUGAUUCAAAAUAAAGGAAUCAAUACAGAAUAGGAGUCCUGGAGACACCCAUGUCAAUAAUGUGAAAUUACGGGAAAUCUUAUUAUGUGCAUCAAAAUAAGCCAAAACUCGUGGCUUAAGAGAUACGUGUACAAUCAUACAAUGGUUAUGACCCCUACUAAAUUCAUGAUGUUAACCAGUUCCCAGAAGUUUAAGUUGAGAAACAAGUUUGGGCAACAUAUUUCCAGACACCUGUCAUGUCUAGGAUUGUCUGAAGCCUAGGUAAGAUUAGUUAUGGGAUCAAUGCAGGCUAUUAGUACAUUGACUCGGUUCUUAACUCAAGUCCUCCUUGCUUGAUACCAUAUUGAAUGGCAAGUACAUCAUCAAUUUACUUAAGUGGGUGAACAAUGUUGGCUAGUAUAUUCCAACACUCACCUCACAUGCAUUUUUUAGGGGCAUAUAAUGCAUCGUGAUGGAUACAUUCUUUCUAAAGACUAAAUUCCAAUGGAAAAUUCAAAUUAAUUUAGUAGCAAUCUCGUAUGGCAAGGGUAUAUGGUAAAUGAAAAGGAGGGCUCAAAUGCUACUUGUUGGCACACACAAGUCAAGUUGUCUUUUAGCUCCCAUGUUGAUCCUCCAUGGUUCGACAUUGGGCAUUACACAGAGAACGAGUUAUCUUUACGCACUAACUAGAGCUACCAGACCAUGGAUGUUCCACCGUGAAUGUCCAUAUGGUGCAAUGAGUGAUAGCGGGGUAUAUUAGAACAUACAGUAUACACCGUUAAAGUAAUUAAAUGUGCUAUUUUGCCUACUAUGACAAAAUAGUAUUUUUAAGAGAAAACUACGCAAGAGUUUGUGAUCUUUGUAUGUAAAAGCAUUAUUUGCCUUUGCUUGGUGUUCACGCAGUUUGAUUUAUGGCAAAAAUGGAAAAUCAUGGGACAAUAAUUGUUGAUAUUCUUUGUGGGAAAGCUAUAAGUUUUCACUUUUCAGAUCAUGCAAAGUAUUGUUUUCUUAUAGGGGUGAUAUACAGGGUUCUAAAUCUGCAUUUGUGAUUUGUUGUCCAUUUAAAUUUUGUUUCUUCCAUAGAUUAUGUUGGUUUGUUGCUGUAUUUAUCUCAGCACUGAAGUAUACUGAUGUUAGCUAAGUCCAAUCAAAGGCCGAUGUUUCUAUCAUGUUAUACAAAUUAGUAAGCUAAGUACUGACCAAACUCAAGUUACAGAAGCCCAGACUACGUGAAAUGCACAUCAUGCAGUACACAUGUUCAUCUUAGUGUUAUGUUAUACUUGGCUCCCAGAUAACAAAUGGUAUCAGUUACUACUAUCUUUUGCAGCUUGUUUCUACCUGUUCAUCGUAGAAUUAUCUUAUGUAGUCUCCCAAGGUUCAUGCAACUUGGAUUUUCAUACUUUGGUAGCAUUAGUGUUCACUAGGACUAGAUGCCACUCUGUAGAAGCUGGAGAUACAGAUGGAGAAAGUAGUCAUGGUUUUUUUUUCAAAAAGUUUGUUCAUAUCUAUAACAGGUUUAUUAAUUUUUAGCGUACAGUGUUGUGAAACCUAGAGUGUUUUAUCUCAUUAAACAUUGAACUACGCUUGCAAGGGAAAAACCUUCAUUUGACAUCGAACUAUGCAUGCAGGGCAAACACUCCGUGCAUCGGUGCCACCGCGCCGUGAACCUUGGGAGCUUGAACCUGGAUGGGUGUGAACUUAUGUUGUCAAGGUUUGGGGUCAGUCUUGGAUAGAGAAUAAAGGGGACUUUGCGAAACUGUUAUUAAUAAUAUGUAUGAAACAUUGCCUUGGGGAGAGAAUAAGAGAUUUCGAGAGAUAUUUAUAAAUGGAUGCAUGCUUGCAAUAGCAGUACAAAAUAUGAUGCUAACAUUUUAUUUUCAUUGUUCUUCCCAUUAAACUUCUCGUGGUGGCUCCAUUAUUCACAGCCUCGCACAUGAAAAUGUUAUUUCGUUCGGGUAAAUGUUGCGUGUCGCUGCUCCUGUAGUUUUGCGGUUUGCAUCUGCUUGAAACUUGUGAGUUGGAUUUUGCGAAGUUGCAAUGCAAAUUUGGGAUGCAGGGAAG